rnacentral:rRNA from 1 species
CAAUAUACUGACGCUGAUGAACGAAAGCGUAGGUAGCCAACAGGAUUAGAUACCCUGGUAGUCUACGCUGUAAACUAUGGUUACUAGCUGUUCGGAGCACAUUAGUGCAUUGAGUGGUUAAGCGAAAGUGAUAAGUAACCCACCUGGGGAGUACGUUUGCAAGAAUGAAACUCAAAGGAAUUGACGGGGGCCCGCACAAGCGGUGGAGCAUGUGGUUUAAUUCGAUGAUACGCGAGGAACCUUACCAAGGCUUAAAUGCAUAUUGACAGUUCACGAAAGUGAAUUUUCUUCGGACAAUUUGCAAGGUGCUGCAUGGUUGUCGUCAGCUCGUGCCGUGAGGUGUCAGGUUAAGUCCUAUAACGAGCGCAACCCCUGUGGUUAGUUACCAGCAUGUAAAGAUGGGGACUCUAGCCAGACUGCCGGUGCAAACCGUGAGGAAGGUGGGGAUGACGUCAAAUCAUCACGGCCCUUACGCCUUGGGCUACACACGUGCUACAAUGGUAUAUACAAUGAGCAGCCAUCUGGUGACAGAGCGCUAAUCUAAAAAGUAUAUCACAGUUCGAAUCGGAGUCUGCAACUCGACUCUGUGAAGCUGGAAUCGCUAGUAAUCGCACAUCAGCCAUGGUGCGGUGAAUACGUUCCCGGGCCUUGUACACACCGCCCGUCAAGCCAUGGAAGCUGGGAGUGCCUGAAGUCCGUAGCCGAAAGGAGCGGCCUAGGGUAAAACUAGUAACUGGGGCUAAGUCGUAACAAGGUA